rnacentral:rRNA from 1 species
AUGCACGCUGGCGGCGUGCCUAAUCCAUGCCAGUCGAGCGAACAGACGAGGAGCUUGCUCCUCUGACGUUAGCGGCGGACGGGUGAGUAACACGUGGAUAACCUACCUAUAAGACUGGGAUAACUUCGGGAAACCGGAGCUAAUACCGGAUAAUAUAUUGAACCGCAUGGUUCAAUAGUGAAAGACGGUUUUGCUGUCACUUAUAGAUGGAUCCGCGCCGCAUUAGCUAGUUGGUAAGGUAACGGCUUACCAAGGCAACGCUGCGUAGCCGACCUGAGAGGGUGAUCGGCCACACUGGAACUGAGACACGGUCCAGACUCCUACGGGAGGCAGCAGUAGGGAAUCUUCCGCAAUGGGCGAAAGCCUGACGGAGCAACGCCGCGUGAGUGAUGAAGGUCUUCGGAUCGUAAAACUCUGUUAUUAGGGAAGAACAAAUGUGUAAGUAACUAUGCACGUCUUGACGGUACCUAAUCAGAAAGCCACGGCUAACUACGUG